UGGGGAAUAUUGCACAAUGGGCGAAAGCCUGAUGCAGCAACGCCGCGUGAGUGAUGAAGGCCUUCGGGUUGUAAAGCUCUGUCUUUUGGGACGAUAAUGACGGUACCAAAGGAGGAAGCCACGGCUAACUACGUGCCAGCAGCCGCGGUAAUACGUAGGUGGCAAGCGUUGUCCGGAUUUUACUGGGCGUAAAGGAUGCGUAGGCGGAUUUUUAAGUGAGAUGUGAAAUACCCGGGCUUAACUUGGGUGCUGCAUUUCAAACUGGGAAUCUAGAGUGCGGGAGAGGAGAAUGGAAUUCCUAGUGUAGCGGUGAAAUGCGUAGAGAUUAGGAAGAACACCAGUGGCGAAGGCGAUUCUCUGGACCGUAACUGACGCUGAGGCAUGAAAGCGUGGGUAGCAAACAGGAUUAGAUACCCUGGUAGUCCACGCCGUAAACGAUGAGUACUAGGUGUAGGAGGUAUCGACCCCUUCUGUGCCGCAGUUAACACAAUAAGUACUCCG
rnacentral:rRNA from 1 species